rnacentral:misc_RNA from 1 species
CUAAGUUGUAUUUGAUGUCUACAAGCUGGAAACUCGGUGAUAAGAACUAUGAAGAAAAGACAACUUGAAAAUAUGAAGUGGAAGAUGAUAUUUUUUUACCUCAGAAUAAAAUGUGUUGUUAUAAACUAAAGUGGAAAUUGAAUGGCUUUUACAGCUAUUAAAAAAGUCUACUUGUUGGCUACUCUUUAUCUUUGUUCUGCAGCUAUUUAUGUUCACCUAAAGUUUACUCUCUGAAAUUUUCACUCAAACAGACAGUUCUGAGUUCUGUCAUAGGUAGGGG